rnacentral:rRNA from 1 species
UCAAGUUACAAAGGGCGCAGGGCGGAUGCCUUGGCACCAGGAGCCGAAGAAGGACGUGAUAAGCUGCGAAAAGCUGCGGGGAGGAGCAAAUAUCCAUUGAUCCGCAGGUAUCCGAAUGGGGAAACCCGGCAGAAAGAACUUCUGUCACCGUAUGAUGAAUCCAUAGUCAUACGGAGGGAACCCGGCGAACUGAAACAUCUAAGUAGCCGGAGGAAGAGGAAGAAACAUCGAAUCCCUAAGUAGUGGCGAGCGAAAGGGGACGAAGCCCAAACCAAGGAUUUAUCCUUGGGGUUGAGGACCACAUACGAAGAAGCAGUAGGUAGCAGAACGGUUUUGGGAAAGCCGGCCAAAGAGAGUGAAAGCCUCGUAUGCGAAACAGACUGUGAUUCAGUGGUAUCCGGAGUACUACGGGACACGAGAAACCCCGUAGGAAGCAGGGGGGACCACCCCCCAAGGCGAAAUACUACCUGGUGACCGAUAGAGUAUAGUACCGUGAGGGAAAGGUGAAAAGAACCCCGGGAGGGGAGUGAAAGAGAACCUGAAACCCUGUGUCUACAAGCUGCGGAAGCACGACUAACGUGCGACCGUGUACUUUUUGUAGAACGGUCCGGCGAGUUGCCGUUGCUGGCAGGUUAAGUACUUAAGGUACGGAGCCGAAGGGAAACCAAGUCUUAAUAGGGCGGUAAGUCAGUAACGGCAGACCCGAAACCGGGUGACCUACCCAUGGCCAGGAUGAAGUCUGCGUAAAAGUGGAUGGAGGUCCGAACACACGUCUGUUGAAAAAGGCGGUGAUGAGCUGUGGGUAGCGGAGAAAUUCCAAUCGAACUCGGAGAUAGCUGGUUCUCCCCGAAAUAGCUUUAGGGCUAGCCUCGGUAUAGUCUAAUGGAGGUAGAGCACUGAAUCGCUGCGGGGGCGUCAAAGUCUACCAAUGCGUAUCAAACUCCGAAUGCCAUAUAGAUGUUUACCGGGAGUCAGACUGUAUGAGAUAAGUCGGACAGUCAAAAGGGAAACAGCCCAGACCAUCUGCUAAGGUCCCAAAGUGUAUGUUAAGUGGUAAAGGAUGUGGGGUUUCGAAGACAACUAGGAUGUUGGCUCAGAAGCAGCCAUUCAUUCAAAGAGUGCGUAAUAGCUCACUAGUCGAGAGGUCCUGCGCCGAAAAUGUCCGGGGCUGAAACAUAACACCGAAGCAAUGGAAUAUACCGUAAGGUAUGUUGGUAGGGGAGCAUUGAUAACACGAAGAAGCGGUACCGUAAGGAGCCGUGGAGAGUUAUCAAGAGAGAAUGCCGGAAUGAGUAGCGAGAUGAAGGUGAGAAUCCUUCAGGCCGUAUAUCCAAGGUUUCCAGGGUAAAGCUGAUCUUCCCUGGGGAAGUCGGGACCUAAGCUCAGGCUGAGAAGCGUAGGCGAUGGACAACUGGUUGAUAUUCCAGUACCUCUGGCUAUCAGAAAUGUGGGGACACGGAGAUUCAGGGAGUGCCUGUAAAGGAUUCAGGUGCAAGCAUGGUUUAUGCCGGGCAGGCAAAUCCGUCCGGGUAAGUGAACUGUGUGAUGCGGACCGAAAUAUAAGUAGGGAAGCUCCUGGGAGAGCCGUCGAGAAAAGCCGCUAUUGUGUAGUCAGAGCCCGUACCGUAAACCGACACAGGUGGAUGGGGAGAGUAUCCCAAGGCCGGCGGGAGAAGCAUUGUUAAGGAACUCGGCAAAAUGGCCCCGUAAGUUCGCGAUAAGGGGUGCCUGUAGAGAUACAGGCCGCAGAGAAUAGGCUCAAGCAACUGUUUAGCAAAAACACAGGUCUAUGCGAAACCGUAAGGUGAUGUAUAUGGGCUGACGCCUGCCCGGUGCUGGAAGGUUACGGGGAGUGCUUAGGAGCAAUCCGAAGGUACGAACUUAAGCCCCAGUAAACGGCGGCCGUAACUAUAACGGUCCUAAGGUAGCGAAAUUCCUUGUCGGGUAAGUUCCGACCCGCACGAAAGGCGUAAUGAUUUGAGCGCUGUCUCAACAAUGCACCCGGUGAAAUUGAAGUACCAGUGAAGAUGCUGGUUACCUGCGCCAAGACGGAAAGACCCCAUGGAGCUUUACUCCAUCUUGGUACUGGGAUUAGAUAUAUGAUGUACAGGAUAGGUGGGAGACUAAGAAGCAGGGACGCCAGUUUCUGCGGAGUCAAUGUUGGGAUACCACCCUUCGUGUAUCUGGUUUCUAACCUUUGCCCGUUAUCCGGGCAGGGGACAAUGCCAGGAGGGGAGUUUGACUGGGGCGGUCGCCUCCGAAAGUGUAUCGGAGGCGCUCAAAGG